rnacentral:lncRNA from 1 species
CCACCGCCGUCAACUCCGUAGGCCCACCGGCCGGGCAGGUCCAGCCAGUCAAUCUCAUCGGCCAUCUCGGUGUCCCUGCAGCCCCUCUCGCUCUCUGCGCCCCCAGGCGCCGGCUGGGCAGGGGGCUUGGUACCCGGGAACCCCCACUUGCUGCCCCCUUCCAGAGGCCGUGGUGGGGGAGGGGGUCCGGCCGGGCUGGCGGCGUCGCUCCCGGGUCCCUGGCAGUGUGGCUGGCCUCCCCACUGAAGACGCGCUGGCCUCAAGCCGGGCGGCAGGGAGCAGGCAAGCGCUUAACCCUGGCCGGCCGGGAGCCCCAGACACCACCUGCCUCCUCGUCGACUCGGGAGCUCCUCUUCGGACCGUUUCCUGAACUUUAAUGACGGGCAAUUAGCGCGAUCCUACAAAUUUCUAGUAGAGAAAGCUUCAUUUGACAAUGAAGCAGAGCUGCACCUGGGAAGCACAGAUGAAGGUCUAGGUGCCCCUUCGUUUCUGAAUUGGAGAAAGUUGGCAGAUCAAGGUAGCAGACUCUGCCAGGCUGCAGUCCCCUGUCACCAGCCAUAUGAAACACCUGUAGGACUCACGCCACUGACAAAGCACAGAGCCACCUGCCUAGCCCCUGAGAUGGCCAAGAAUAUAAACGGCCAGAGUUGCUGCCAAGAUGCCUCAAGGGAAAAUACCAGCAAUCAGUGCACUCCCAGUCCAACCUGAGCAACCAGUAAGGGCAGCUGCUUGUGCUGAACGUGGGCAGAAACAGGGGACAAGAUGACAUAUAUUUGAAAACAUGUAUUACACUACUGUCUUCUUCGAGCGCCUCUUGAUCUAUUUUUCCACGAGAUUUUUGUCUUGUUUAAUGUCUAAUGUAGCCUGGGGUUCCUGGGGACAUUUACCUAGAUGAGAAAAGGCCAGUGGCUCAGAUUUGUAAAUGUUUAUUACUCAUUUGAAAUAAGAAAUCACGUUCGAAAAUAUUUCCCUAACUGUGGUCUAGUCUCGCUAGUGACUUUUUGCAUGCUAGUUCUUGUUUAUGAUUAGUUAUGAUUAGUAUUGAUACUGCUAGUAACGACAUUUUAGCAAAAGAGCUAAAGACAUGUAGAAAAAGAGUAGAAAACCCAAAUAAAAGCAGCUAUUGGUUCAACAAUUACCUAGAAGAGAGAAGGAGGGUUGAUAGAUUAAAAUGAAAAUCAUACAUGGCUGGCAACUAAGUCAGAAAUUUAGCUGUCUGAUUGCUUUUCCCCCCACAGCAAAUUUUUUUAUCCCUUUAAAAAUGUUUAUUUAUUUAUUUAUUUGCUUAAAAACAGGAUCUCAUUUUGUCACCCAGGCUAAGGUGGUGCAGUGGCACAAUCAGAGCUCACUGUGACCUUGAACUCCUGGACUCAAGCCAGCAUCCCACCUCAGCCUCCCAAAAUGCUGGGAUUACAGGAGUGAGCAAGUGCGCCUGGCCUCUUUCAUCUCUUUAAAAGGCAACCAAGCAUUUGGAAAAAAUAUAUCAGUAAUAUUUAUAAAUUAUUCUGAUUCUCUAUUACAUUCUGAUGUCUUAAUCACUUCAACAUUACUAUUUCUGGUUUGAUAUCUGUGGUAGGCUGAAAAACAUCUCCUCAAAAGCUAUCUGCAUCAAAUCCCUGGAAUCUAUUAAUGUUCCCUUAUUUGGAAAAAGGUCUUUGCAGAUACAAUUAAGAAUCUUAAGAUGAGAAAAUCAUCCUGGAUUACUGGGGUGAGCACUAAAUCGAAUGACAAAUGUCCUCGUAAGAGACACAUAAGAAAUGUAAUAGAAGAGGUGGAAGUCAUGUGACCAUGAAAACAGAGAUUGGAGUGAUGUGGCCCCAAGUUAGGGAAUGUUGGCAAUCACCAAAAGUUAGAAGAGGCAAAGAGUACAUUUUCCCCUAGAGCUUCCAGAGUGCAGCCCUGCCAAUACCUGGAUUUCAUCCUGAACUGUGAGAGUAUAAAUUUCUAUUGUUUUAAACCACCCAAUUUGUAGUAAUUUGUUACAGCAGACAUGAGAAAUUAAUACAGUACCUACAAGAAAAUCACAACUCAGUGAGGGCCAGGUGUGGUGGCUCACACCUGUAAUCCCAGCACUUUGGGAGGCUGAGGCAGGUGGAUAACUUGAGGUUGGGAGUUCAAGACCAGCCUGACCAACAUGGUGAAACCCCAUCUCUACUAAAAGUACAAAAAUUAUUUGGUGGUGCACGCGUGUAAUCCUAGCUACUCGGGAGGCUGAGGCACGAGAAUAGCUUGAAUCCAGGAAGUGGAGGUUGCAGUGAGCCGAGAUUGCGCCACUGCACUCCAGCCUGGGUGACAAAGUGAGACUCUGUCUCAAAAAAAAAAAAAAAAACCCUCAAUGAGGACUGAAAUAAAUGUCCAUUAUUUUUACCUCUCCAGCAUCUACUCUCCCUUCUUCUGUUAAUAGCUGCAGGUUUCCUUUUGACAUCUAUCUACCCUCUGCCACUCUCAGCCUGUGUGGGCUGGCCCCACCUUUACUCUCAAGCUCCAUUGAGGGUUGGGCUGUGACACAGAUCUGCCCAGAGAUCUGACAACUCUCCAUUCCCCUGGUGCAGGAAAGGACACAAGACUCAGACAAGACCAAUAAGACUCUGUUUUUUAAAGAUGCCAAAAUUCUCGGGAAGAAGCCCUUUUCCUCUUGCAUUUGAAGGUGGCAUGAGUUGUGUUGCCGUUGCUG